rnacentral:misc_RNA from 1 species
GAAAUGCGAUAAGUAAUGUGAAUUGCAGAAUUCAGUGAAUCAUCGAGUCUUUGAACGCACAUUGCGCCCCCUGGCAUUCCGGGGGGCAUGCCUGUCCGAGCGUCAUUGCUGCCCUUCAAGCCAGGCUUGUGUGUUGGGUCGUCGUCCCCUCCGGGGGACGGGCCCGAAAGGCAGCGGCGGCACCGCGUCCGGUCCUCGAGCGUAUGGGGCUUUGUCACCCGCUCGAUAAGGACCGGCCGGGCGCCAGCCGGCGUCUCCAACCUUUUUUUCUCAGGUUGACCUCGGAUCAGGUAGGGAUACCCGCUGAACUUAAGC